rnacentral:rRNA from 1 species
UACGUAGGGGGCAAGCGUUGUCCGGAAUUAUUGGGCGUAAAGCGCGCGCAGGCGGUCAAUUAAGUCUGGUGUUUAAGGCUGUGGCUCAACCACAGUUCGCACUGGAAACUGGUUGACUUGAGUACAGAAGAGGAAAGUGGAAUUCCAACGUGUAGCGGUGAAAUGCGUAGAGAUGUGGAGGAACACCAGUGGCGAAGGCGACUUUCUGGGCUGUAACUGACGCUGAGGCGCGAAAGCGUGGGGAGCAAACAGG